rnacentral:rRNA from 1 species
CGAUUCGCCCUUCGGGGUGCCCAGGCGCGAAAACUUUGCCUACACGAAAGUGUGACAGGGUUAUCCCGAGUGCCGACCGCUGAGGUUGGCUUUUACCCAGUCUAGAAAGCUGGGGGAAUAAGGAGAGGGCAAGUCUGGUGUCAGCCGCCGCGGUAAUACCAGCUCUCCGAGUGGUGUGGACGUUUAUUGGGCCUAAAGCAUCCGUAGCUGGCUGAACAAGUCCCCUGUUAAACCCACCGAUUUAAUCGUUGGCGUGCGGGGGAUACUGCUCGGCUAGGGGACGAGAGAGGCAGACGGUAUUCCCGGGGUAGGGGUGAAAUCCUAUAAUCCCGAGAAGACCACCAGUGGCGAAGGCUGUCUGCUAGAACGCGCCCGACGGUGAGGGAUGAAAGCUGGGGGAGCGAACCGGAUUAGAUACCCGGGUAGUCCCAGCUGUAAACGAUGCAGACUAGGUGUUUGGACGGCCACGUGCCGUUCUAGUGCCGCAGGGAAGCUGUUAAGUCUGCCGCCUGGGGAGUACGAUCGCAAGAUUGAAACUUAAAGGAAUUGGCGGGGGAGCAC